AAAUGCGGGUGUAGCUCAGCUGGUUAGAGCGUCCGCCUGUAGACGUGCAGCUUUCUGUUUAAAAACAGAUUGAAACUCCCCGGGAUAUCGGUGAAGGCUAAGUCCAUUUUGGAUAUGCGAACACCGAGGGAACCCAUGACAGGGUAUGUCAUGGGGCGCCGUAGAGACUAGAUACCGGGGUACCUAAGGGCAUUUGUCUAAGGUAAAGAUAUAGUCCACGCUGUUAUGAAAAUAAUGG
rnacentral:ribozyme from 1 species